rnacentral:rRNA from 1 species
CCUACGGGUGGCAGCAGUGGGGAAUAUUGGACAAUGGGGGCAACCCUGAUCCAGCCAUGCCGCGUGUGUGAAGAAGGCCCUCGGGUUGUAAAGCACUUUCAGUGAGGAAGAACGCCUGGUGGUUAAUACCCAUCAGGAAAGACAUCACUCACAGAAGAAGCACCGGCUAACUCCGUGCCAGCAGCCGCGGUAAUACGGAGGGUGCGAGCGUUAAUCGGAAUUACUGGGCGUAAAGCGCGCGUAGGUGGCUUGAUAAGCCGGUUGUGAAAGCCCCGGGCUCAACCUGGGAACGGCAUCCGGAACUGUCAAGCUAGAGUGCAGGAGAGGAAGGUAGAAUUCCCGGUGUAGCGGUGAAAUGCGUAGAGAUCGGGAGGAAUACCAGUGGCGGAGGCGGCCUUCUGGACUGACACUGACACUGAGGUGCGAAAGCGUGGGUAGCAAACAGGAUUAGAUACCCUAGUAGUC